GCUGAACACAACGCGGCUCAUCGUCUUCAUCUAGAUUUGGAGUUUAUCGGAGAUAGUAAAGGAGAAGAUUGAUUGGGUGCGUAUGAAGCAAUUGCAUAAAAAGCAGCAUGCAUAGUUCACAAAGAAUUUGUUACAAACUAGCUGGUCUUCUAUAAUACAUCAUUAGAAAUCUAUUUUAUGAUACACAUGCGAGUGGUGUGCUUUCGGCCUUAAGUUGUGUUCAUAUUAAUAUUUGAGUUGGGACGGAUAUGUUAGUUUACGCAUUCAAAUGGUUUUAUAUACGCUGAGAAAGCAAAUCUCUUUAGGGUCAUGUAUAUUUACAAAUAUUUAUGAGAACUCUGAUACAUUGUGGAAGUUAUUUACAUUUACUGGGAGGAUUAGUAUUUCUAGGAUAAAUUUCAAAUGAUAUAUUCAAUAAUUUUCCGUGAAGGCAAAGAAUAUGUGUAUAUCGAUUUUUGGAUUAGAUACAUUUGACCGGUGUUUGCAUAUUUCGUAUAUAUGUAUGACGACAUAUAUGUUCGUAAGUUGGGAUUGUUAUUAGGAGAACCAUUUAAGUAGAUGAUGGGUCAAAUAUAAUAUCGUAUUUUGGUGUGAUAUUUGUGCUUGUCCGUUCAUAACGAAUUGAAUCGAGUGAACCCUUAGUACCUGUGGUCAUAAUCUCAUUUGUAACAUAUUUAAAUAUCCUGUAUUUAUAUUUACAUUGUUUAUUCUGCCGCGAGUCUUGGUUGUAGGGAACUAGAGUAUAGCAGAAAUGAGACUAGUUUAAUAUUAGGAUCAAUUUACGCGUAUAAAUCGUUCGUGGGCAAAUAUAGAUUUUAGCCUCUCGACGAGAUUUAUUUUAUUUAUGAAAAGAGGAAGAGGAUUUUACAUCAAUAUGAUAAUUGACAUAGGCUGUAAAACUCGAAGUACCAUACCAUCGCUUACCUAAAGUGAACAAAUUCCCCAAAUUUUCUCACAUUAAAUAUAAGUUGAGGCAAAAAUAUUUAUUUUUGAGUAUAAAACAAAUUUCAUAAUACAUUUUUCAAAACUAUAAAAAAUAUUAAUAAUUUUAAG
rnacentral:lncRNA from 1 species